rnacentral:rRNA from 1 species
AUUGAACGCUGGCGGCAUGCCUUACACAUGCAAGUCGAACGGCAGCACGGGUGCUUGCACCUGGUGGCGAGUGGCGAACGGGUGAGUAAUACAUCGGUACAUGUCCCGUAGCGGGGGAUAGCCCGGCGAAAGCUGGAUUAAUACCGCAUACGAUCUACGGAUGACAGCGGGGGACCUUCAGGCCUCGCGCUAUAGGGUUGGCCGAUGGCUGUUUAGCUAGUUGGGGGGGUAAAGGCCUACCCAGGCGACGAUCAGUAGCUGGUCUGAGAGGACGACCAGCCACACGGGAGCUGGAACACGGCCCAGACUCCUACGGUAGGCAGCAGUGGGGAAUUGUGGACAAUGGUCGAAAGUCUGAUCCAGCAAGGCCGCGUGUGUGAAGAAGGCCUUCGGGUUGUAAAGCACUUUUGUCCGGAAAGAAAUCCUUGGCCCUAAGACGGUCGGGGGAUGACGGUACCGGAAGAAUAAGCACCGGCUAACUACGUG